rnacentral:rRNA from 1 species
CAGUAGCCGCGGGAAUACGUAGGGUGCGAGCGUUAAUCGGAAUUACUGGGCGUAAAGCGUGCGCGGGCGGUUUUGUAAGACAGGCGUGAAAUCCCCGGGCUCAACCUGGGAAUGGCGCUUGUGACUGCAAAGCUAGAGUGCGGCAGAGGGGGAUGGAAUUCCGCGUGUAGCAGUGAAAUGCGUAGAUAUGCGGAGGAACACCGAUGGCGAAGGCAAUCCCCUGGUCCUGCACUGACGCUCAUGCACGAAAGCGUGGGGAGCAAACAGGAUUAGAUACCCGUGUAGUCCCUGUCUCUUAUAC